GACGAACGCUGGCGGCGUGCUUAACACAUGCAAGUCGAACGGAAAGGCCCUGCUUUUGUGGGGUGCUCGAGUGGCGAACGGGUGAGUAACACGUGAGUAACCUGCCCUUGACUUUGGGAUAACUUCAGGAAACUGGGGCUAAUACCGGAUAGGAGCUCCUGCUGCAUGGUGGGGGUUGGAAAGUUUCGGCGGUUGGGGAUGGACUCGCGGCUUAUCAGCUUGUUGGUGGGGUAGUGGCUUACCAAGGCUUUGACGGGUAGCCGGCCUGAGCGGGUGACCGGCCACAGUGGGACUGAGAUGCGGCCCAGACUCCUACGGGAGGCAGCAGUGGGGAAUAUUGCACAAUGGGCGGAAGCCUGAUGCAGCAACGCCGCGUGCGGGAUGACGGCCUUCGGGUUGUAAACCGCUUUCGCCUGUGACGAAGCGUGAGUGACGGUAAUGGGUAAAGAAGCACCGGCUAACUACGUG
rnacentral:rRNA from 1 species